rnacentral:misc_RNA from 1 species
GGAACUAAAAGUCGUAACAAGGUUUCCGUAGGUGAACCUGCGGAAGGAUCAUUAACAAGUCCGUGUAUGCGCCUGGUCGUUCUUUUCUCUUUUCCGGGGGAAGAAUAGGCUAGGAGCAGCACAUUUGCUCCGUGCGUCGCAAGACGUGCGUGAACACUAUUUCAUCGUUUGACCGAUCGCCGGGAAAAGAAAACAAACUUUUAACAAUGGAUCUCUAG